rnacentral:rRNA from 1 species
AAAGUUGAUCCUGGCUCAGGACGAACGCUGGCGGCGUGCCUAAUACAUGCAAGUCGAGCGGACAGAUGGGAGCUUGCUCCCUGAUGUUAGCGGCGGACGGGUGAGUAACACGUGGGUAACCUGCCUGUAAGACUGGGAUAACUCCGGGAAACCGGGGCUAAUACCGGAUGCUUGUUUGAACCGCAUGGUUCAAACAUAAAAGGUGGCUUCGGCUACCACUUACAGAUGGACCCGCGGCGCAUUAGCUAGUUGGUGAGGUAAUGGCUCACCAAGGCAACGAUGCGUAGCCGACCUGAGAGGGUGAUCGGCCACACUGGGACUGAGACACGGCCCAGACUCCUACGGGAGGCAGCAGUAGGGAAUCUUCCGCAAUGGACGAAAGUCUGACGGAGCAACGCCGCGUGAGUGAUGAAGGUUUUCGGAUCGUAAAGCUCUGUUGUUAGGGAAGAACAAGUACCGUUCGAAUAGGGCGGUACCUUGACGGUACCAACCAGAAAGCC